UUUUUCUCUAGAUCUUUACAACAAGUGUCCAGAUGUUGGACUGUCUCAGUGAAGACAAUGUGUGUUAGAGAUGUAAUGUCCAUGUUUGCUGCUGAUAGAGUCUGAUGGUCUGACCCUCCUCCUCCUUUCAGGGUGGAGCCUGAUGGAGUCCGAUGGUUGACACCAGGUCUGAGGAAAUAUUCCUGUCAACUCACCAUCGACACAAACACAAUGAGCAGAUUACUGAAACUGUCUGAAGAUAACAGGAAGUUGACAUGUGUAGAGGAGGAUCAGUUAUAUCCUGAUCAUCCAGACAGAUUUGAGUUUUAUCACAAUGUCCUGUGUGAAACUGGUCUGACUGGUCGCUGUUACUGGGAGGUUGAGUGGAGUGGAGCUGUUGAUAUAGUAGUGAGUUACAGAAGAAUCAGGAGGAAUGGAGGCAGUAGAGCCUGUGUGUUUGGAGAGAAUAAUUAUUCCUGGAGUCUGAUCACCUGUCGUAAGGAUGAGUGCUAUGUGAGGCACAAUAACAUACGAACUCGUCUGCCCUCCUCCUGUUUCUCUCACAGAGUAGGUGUGUAUGUGGACUGUCCUGCUGGCAUUCUGUCCUUCUACAAAGUUUCCUCUGACUCCCUGACCCACAUCUACACCUAUAAAACCACAUUCACUGAA